rnacentral:misc_RNA from 1 species
AUAGUUUUUAUGUCCAGCAAUAUCAAAUAAACAGAUCAGCAUUGUGCUUCUGUUUCUUUUAAAUUUAAAGAUAAAAGAUCAUUUUUUAUUAUCUGGGAAUACCAGAAGCCACUGUAACUAUUGCAAUAAUCAUAAUCUGACAAAUCUAUAAAAAUUGCAAGAGAGUAUCCACAUCUAGAAACAACUAUCAGUUUCCCUCAAAUAUUUCUCAGAAAUCUAAAAGAGAAAGCACACAAAUCAUUGGCCUCAUUAAAUAUCUCCUCUUCUCUGUCUACGAGUCUUUUCAAUAAACAGAUUUAACCCAUUCCAUGUGAAAAGAGGGCCUCAAGAGAUUUCCAGAGAUUAAAAAAUACUCCCAGUUAAAGAAACAAGAUGGCUUUUGAGCAGGUUAGCUUUAACUGUGUAAGUAGGCACUGAGAAUUAGAAAGUUGUAGUGCUGAGCUUGAGCAUCAUCCACAGUCCGAAGUUGAAGUUAUGGUAAAAUCAGUGGUUAAAUGUAGAGAAAAACUGGACACCCUCAAAGGCCACAUAAUUGACCUAUCACUGUCAGUCAAUCAUUGGUAACUCUAAGCCAAUCAGAGUACUGUAUUUUUCUCACCCAAUUCAACCUUAUAACCAGCUGACUGCAAUUUUUCAACACAAACAGCAUGCUCAGUACUCUAUUAGAGCAAUAGUCUGUGCAAAUGUUUGAAAAGUGACAAUGAGUUUCUUACUGUCAGAUAGUUGCUACCAGGAAUGAUUUACUCUUUUUCAACAUUAAGUUUUGAGAUACAUUUUCAAGAUGUGAAUGCUGAUAUUCCACAGAAGGCAGUGGCCAUUUACCAUCAAACCAACUGUUUCAAAAAAUUUUCAGAGUGUUGUUAAUGUUUACACUUAUAGUAUAGAUCACAAUAUAAUAAUCUUAACAUCUUAACAAUACUGUUACAUCAGGAGUAUGAUUUUUUAUAAAAACCUAAUCACAGGAAAGGGACUGAACAUGUACACUUCAGAAAAUUAAAGGUUUUCCCUGAUGCAGGAAUAAAUGCCCACACACUCAGAAGUCUGAUGCCAAUCCUACUCCAUUCCCCCAUAAAUAUCACACCAAAUUUCGUGAUCUCUAUCAUGUAACAUGAUUAAUAUAUCUGAGUGGGUUGAAAGAAAAAAAGAACUACAUGCAUCAACUUUUCCCCUUUAAUAAAUGUUACAGCUACCAAGGAGCAUUUCAUGGAGCGUGUCCCAUAAGAUUGAUAAGAUUCAAUUUAAUUUUGAUAGUGUAGCUGGUUAAUUGUAUCAGAAGAUUGUUUUGGUUGAGUAAGAAUUAAUGGCCUGUCAAAUCCAUAUUAGUGCUCCCCACUAAUGAGACUCCUUCCUCUAGGGAGUGGAGAUAUCAUGAAACCUUUCAUUCUGCAAGUCAUUUGGCUUUCCCUCAAGACCUUAAACCAUCACAUGAAGCAUUGGGUUUAUUACCCAAAUGCUCUAUUCUCUAGGAGGAUUAUCAUUUCAUCACUUUUUGUACCAUUAACAGGACAUAACUUGACAAGUAGAUACAAUCAAGGCUCUUCUGGUCAAUAUAUAUUGCUUCUCAAACUACAAAACCAAUUUACAGCUAGAACUUCAAGUGGUCACACUGGAAAUUUUAUUUUUCCCUAUCAAUAAGUCUAACCUGCAGAUAAAACCAACCUGCAGAUAAAACCAGCCAGCGAGUCAUUCGAGAAAUUCCACUCCUGUCAACAACUAGAGGUUUUACAGAUUCAUCAUGACAUCAAGUGUAAAAAUAAUUUUUAUGGUUUGUGCCAUUGGGAUUGUUGCAGUGUUCACAGAGGCUUGUACAAAUACUGGAGAGUGGUGCCAGCGAGAUAUCAAUUGUUGUGGAGCUGCCGUGUGCUAUAAGGGGGUUUGUCGAUUAAUGCGUUGUAGGCCUACAGGAUACAGGUGCAAGUACCACAAUGAAUGUUGCCAGGGUUUUUGUAGUCCUUCUUCUCCAUAUGUCAAAACAUGUACAAAACCUGAUAUAGAUGACAUCAAUGCGUAUCUGGGUAUAAGGAGAAGAGCUUUGUGGUAGCAAAACAAGGUGCUUCAUAACUACGACAACACUGUACUGACUACAGUUAGACAGAAAACACAGGCAUUUCAGAAUAAAUGUUGUAGCAUUUCAUUAAAUUUUGCUAAAUAACUAUAAAAAACUUACAUGUGUUAACUAUAACAUGAGGACAUGUUAGCAAAAUAACAAUGACUUUCAAGGUUAAUAUGGUCUAAUUAUUACUCAAUGACAAUAAAGUAAUAUCAGAAUACUAUGAACUCUUAGAAUUCAAUAAUUAAUUCAAAAUAAAUCAUAAGUGCAUCUUCAUGGCUACUUUGUGAAGUGUGAGAAACAUUCCUGGACCAGUGCAUUAUGCUUUAAACACUGAGGGAAAUAAAGAGAAAAUUAUUAUUAUUUUUUUUUA